GUGCCAGCCGCCGCGGUAAGACGAACCGUGCGAACGUUGUUCGGAAUCACUGGGCUUAAAGGGCGCGUAGGCGGGCUCGCAAGUCUGUGGUGAAAGCCUCCAGCUCAACUGGAGAAGUGCCGUGGAUACUGCGAGUCUUGAGGAGGGUAGGGGCAUCUGGAACAGUAGGUGGAGCGGUGAAAUGCGUUGAUAUCUACUGGAACUCCGGUGGCGAAGGCGAGGUGCUGGACCCUUUCUGACGCUGAGGCGCGAAAGCCAGGGGAGCGAACGGGAUUAGAUACCCCGGUAGUCCUGGCCCUAAACGUUGAGGACUAGGUUGUGGACUGAACAUGGGUUCACAGCCGGAGCAAAAGUGCUAAGUCCUCCGCCUGGGGAGUAUGGUCGCAAGGCUGAA
rnacentral:rRNA from 1 species